GACGAACGCUGGCGGCGUGCUUAACACAUGCAAGUCGAACGGAAAGGCCCUGCUUUUGUGGGGUGCUCGAGUGGCGAACGUGUGAGUAACACGUGAGUAACCUGCCCUUGACUUUGGGAUAACUUCAGGAAACUGGGGCUAAUACCGGAUAGGAGCUCCUGCUGCAUGGUGGGGGUUGGAAAGUUUCGGCGGUUGGGGAUGGACUCGCGGUUUAUCAGCUUGUUGGUGGGGUAGUGGCUUACCAAGGCUUUGACGGGUAGCCGGCCUGAGAGGGUGACCGGACACAUUGGGACUGAGAUACGGCACAGACUCCUACGGGAGGCAGCAGUGGGGAAUAUUGCACAAUGGGCGGAAGCAUGAUGCAGCAACGCCGCGUGCGGGAUGACGGCCAUCGGGUUGUAAGCCGAUUUGGCCUGUGAGGAAGAGUGAGUGGGGGUAAUGGGUAAAGAAGAAAAGGCUAACUACGUG
rnacentral:rRNA from 1 species